rnacentral:rRNA from 1 species
GACGAACGCUGGCGGCGUGCUUAACACAUGCAAGUCGAACGGAAAGGCCCGGCUUUGGGGGGGUGCUCGAGUGGCCAACUGGGGAGUAACACUUGAGUAACCUGCCCUUGACUUUGAGAGAACCUCAUAAAACUUGGUGUAAUAGCGGAUAGGAUCUCCUGCUGUUUGGUGGGGGUGGGAAGGUUUCGGCGGUUGGUGGUGGACUCGCGGCUUAUUGGCUUGUUGGUUGGGUAGUGGAUGAGCAAGGCUUUGAACGGUAGCCGGCCUGAGAGGGUGACCGGCCACGUUGGGCCUGGGCUACGGCACAGCCUCCUACGGGAGGCAGCAGUGGGGAAUGGUGCACAAUGCGAGGAACCCUGAUGCAGUACAGCAGUGUGCGGGAUGACGGCCAUGCGGUUGUAUUGCGCUUUCGCCUUUCACGAAGCGUGAGUGACGGUAAUGGGUAAAGAAGCACCGGCUAACUCCGUG